rnacentral:tRNA from 1 species
GGUAGAGUGGACUAAACGAGGUCGCCAGGCUCAUCAUCUGGAGGUGCAGGGUCGAUUCCUGCCUCUACCA